GGGACACCGCAUCGCCAGCUGCCCGGUUCGCCCAAACGGACCAGCUCACCGGCCGCAGUCCGGUCGGUCGCCUGGGGGCGACCCUUGAGGGGGGGGCACUGUCAUGGUCUGUGGAAUGCGUGAUGCUCGGGUAGCCACACCCCCGGGCUGGGCCAUCACUAGCACACCUGCUCUCCAUCCCGGUGAUUACACGGAGAUCCACUUAAUCCGGCGCUGACGGAUGCUCCACGCCAGUCCGUAGUCAUCCCCACAGUGAUUUCUACUCGGCGUCUGCUACCUGCCUGUCCUCCGGCUCAACUGGAUCUCGCGGCGCUCACCUGGCCCACUCGCCAUUCCACGGACUUCCUGCCCCCACGGACUGCCCCA
ensembl:lncRNA